GUAAUUCAGGGGUAUGCAAUUCAGGGGCAUGUCAUUCAGGGAAGGUAAUUCAGGGGCAUGUAAUUCAGGUGUAUGUAAUUCAGGGGCAUGUCAUUCACGGGUGGGUAAUUUAGGGAUAGGUAAUUCAGGGGCACAUCAUUCAGAGUCAGAUCAUUCAUGUGCAUGUAAUUAAGAGUCAUGUAAUUUAGGGGCAGGUAAUUCAGGGGAAGGUAAUUCAGGGGUAAUUCAGGGACAGGUAAUUUAGAGGAAUGUCAUUCAUGGGCAGGUAAUUCAGGGGCUUGUAAUUCUGGGUUAGGUAAUCCAGGGGCAUGUAAUUCAGGGGCAGGUAAUCUAGGUGCAGGUAUUUCAGGGGUAUGUCAUUCACGGGCAGGUAAUUCAGGGGCAGAUAAUUUAGGGAUAGAUAAUUCAGAGACAUGUCAUUCAGGGGCAGGUCAUUCAGGUGCAUGUAAUUAAGAGACAUGUAAUUGAGGGGCAGGUAAUUCAGGGUCAUGUAAUUCAGGUGUUUGUAAUUCAGGGGCAGGUAAUUCAGAUGCAUGUAAUUUAGUGGCAGGUAAUUCAGGGGCAGGUACUUCAGGGUUAAGUAAUUAAGGGGCAUGUCAUUCAGAGCAAGGUAAUUCAGACGCAGGUAAUUGAGGGGCAUGUAAUUCAGGUGCAGGUAAUUCAGGGGCAUGUAAUUAAGGGGCAUGUAAUUCAGCGGCAUGUAAUUGAGGAGCAGGUAAUUGAGGGGCAUGUAAUUCAGAUGUAUGUAAUUCAGGGGAAGGUAAUUCAGGGGCAUGUAAUUCAAGGGCAUGUAAUUCGUGGGUGGGUAAUUCAGAGCAAUGUAUUUCAGGGGCAUGUAAUUCAGGUGCAGGUAAUUCAGGGGAAGGUAAUCCAGGGGCGGGUAAUUCAGGGACAGGUAAUUUAGAGGAAUGUCAUUCAUAGGCAGGUAAUUUAGGGGCAGGUUAUCGAGGGGCAUGUAAUUCAGAGGAAAGGUGAUUCAGGGGCAUGUAAUUCACGGGCAGGUAAUCUAGGUGCAGGUAAUUCAGAGGCAUGUCAUUCACGGGUAGGUAAUUCAGGGGCCGGUAACUUAGGGAUAGAUUAUUCAGAGGCAUGUCAUUCAGGGCAGGUCAUUCAGGUGCAUGUAAAUAAGAGGCAGGUAAUUCAGAGCCAUGUAUUUCAGGUGUUUGUAAUUCAGGGGCAGGUAAUUCAGAUGCAUGUAAUUUAGGGGCAGGUACUUCAGGGGUAUGUAAUUCAGGGGCAGGUAAUUGAGGGGAAGUUAAUUCAGGUGUAUGUUAUUCAGGGGCAGGUAAUUCAUGGCCAGGUAAUUCAGGGGCAUGUAAUUUUGGGGCAGGAAAUUCACGGGCAGGUAAUUCACGGGCAUGUAAUUCAGGGGCAGGUAAUUCAGGUGCAGGUUAUUCAGGGACUCAGGGGUAGAUAAUUCAGGGGCAUGUAAUUCAGGGUCAGGUAAUUCAGGUGCAUGUAAUUCAUGGGCAGGUAAUUCAGGGGCAUGUAAUUCAGGGGAAGGUAAUUUAGGGGCAGGAACUUCAGGGGCAGAUUAUUGAGUGUCAGGUUAUUCAGGUAUAGGUUAUUCAGGGACAGGUAAUCCAGGGGUAUGUAAUUAAGGGGCAGGUCAUUCAGGGGCACGUAAUUCAUGGGCAUAAAAUUCAGGGGAUGGUAAUUCAGGGGGAGGUAAUUCAGGGGCACGUAAUUCAGGGGCAUGUUAUUCAGGUGCAGGUAAUUGAGGGGCAUUUAAUUAAGGGGCAUGUAAUUCUGGGUUAGGUAAUCCAGGGGCAUGUAAUUCUGGGUUAGGUAAUCCAGGGGCAUGUAAUUGAGGGGCAUGUAAUUCAGGGGUAGGUAAUUCAGGGGCAUGUAAUUCAGGGGCAUGUAAUUAAUGGGUGGGUAAUUCAGGGGAAGGUAAUUCAGGGACAGGUAAUUUAGAGGAAUGUCAUUCAUGGGCAGGUAAUUCAGGGGCAUGUAAUUCUGGGUUAGGUAAUCCAGGGACAUGUAAUUCUGGGUCAGGUAAUCCAGGGGCAUGUAAUUCAGGAGCAUGUAAUUCAGGGGCAGGUAAUCUAGGUGCAGGUAUUUCAGGGGCAUGUCAUUCUCGGGCAGGUAAUUCAUGGGCAGGUAAUUUAGGGAUAGAUAAUUCAGGGUCAGGUCAUACAGGUGCAUGUAAUUAAGAGCCAUGUGAUUGAGGGGCAGAUAAUUCAGGGCCAUGUAAUUCAGGGGCAGGCAAUUCAGAUGCAUGUAAUUUAGGGGCAGGUAAUUCAGGGGUAUGUAAUUUUGGGGCAGGUAAUUCAGGUGUAUCUUAUUCUGGUGUAUGUUAUUCAGGGGCAUGUAAUUCAGGGGCAUGACAUUCACGGGCAGGUAAUUCCGGGGCAGGUAAUUUAGGGAUAGAUAAUUGAGGGGCAUAUCAUUCAGGGUCAGGUCAUUCAUGUGCAUGUAAUUAAGAGGCAUUUAAUUGAGGGGCAUCUAAUUCAGUUGUUUGUAAUUCAGGGGCAGGUAAUUCAGAUGCAUGUAAUUUAGGGGAAGGUAAUUCAGGGGUAUGUAAUUCAGGGGCAGGUAAUUUAGAGGAAUGUCAUUCAUUGGCAGAUAAUUCCGGGACAUGUAAUUCAGGGGCAUGUAAUUCAGGGGAAGGUAAUUCAGGGG